GCCGAAGGGAAACCGAGUCUUAACUGGGCGUUAAGUUGCAGGGUAUAGACCCGAAACCCGGUGAUCUAGCCAUGGGCAGGUUGAAGGUUGGGUAACACUAACUGGAGGACCGAACCGACUAAUGUUGAAAAAUUAGCGGAUGACUUGUGGCUGGGGGUGAAAGGCCAAUCAAACCGGGAGAUAGCUGGUUCUCCCCGAAAGCUAUUUAGGUAGCGCCUCGUGAAUUCAUCUCCGGGGGUAGAGCACUGUUUCGGCAAGGGGGUCAUCCCGACUUACCAACCCGAUGCAAACUGCGAAUACCGGAGAAUGUUAUCACGGGAGACACACGGCGGGUGCUAACGUCCGUCGUGAAGAGGGAAACAACCCAGACCGCCAGCUAAGGUCCCAAAGUCAUGGUUAAGUGGGAAACGAUGUGGGAAGGCCCAGACAGCCAGGAUGUUGGCUUAGAAGCAGCCAUCAUUUAAAGAAAGCGUAAUAGCUCACUGGUCGAGUCGGCCUGCGCGGAAGAUGUAACGGGGCUAAACCAUGCACCGAAGCUGCGGCAGCGACACUGUGUGUUGUUGGGUAGGGGAGCGU
rnacentral:rRNA from 1 species